rnacentral:rRNA from 1 species
CUAACAAGGAUUCCCCUAGUAACGGCGAGUGAAGCGGGAAGAGCUCAAAUUUGUAAUCUGGCGGUCUCCGGCCGUCCGAGUUGUAGUCUGGAGAAGCGUCUUCCGCGCCGGACCGUGUACAAGUCCCUUGGAACAGGGCGUCAUAGAGGGUGAGAAUCCCGUCUUUGACACGGACUACCGGUGCUUUGUGAUGCGCUCUCAAAGAGUCGAGUUGUUUGGGAAUGCAGCUCAAAAUGGGUGGUAAAUUCCAUCUAAAGCUAAAUAUUGGCGAAAGACCGAUAGCGAACAAGUACCGUGAGGGAAAGAUGAAAAGCACUUUGGAAAGAGAGUUAAACAGUACGUGAAAUUGUUGAAAGGGAAACGCUUGAAGUCAGUCGCGUCUUCCGGGACUCAGCCUUGCUUUUGCUUGGUGCAUUUCCCGAAUGACGGGCCAGCAUCGAUUUUGACCGUUGGAGAAAGGCCUUGGGAAUGUGGCACCUUCGGGUGUGUUAUAGCCCUCGGUCGUAUGCAACGGUUGGGAUCGAGGAUCGCAGCACGCCUUUUUGGCCGGGGUUCGCCCACGUAACGUGCUUAAGAUGCUGGCGUAAUGGCUUUAACGACCCGUCUU